rnacentral:lncRNA from 1 species
UAGUUUCAGAACCAUGAAGAAAGGUAAAUUGGGAAAGGAGAAGAAGGUGAUUGAUAUGGGGAAGAUAUAUAGGAUGAAGCAAGAGAAGGUUUCGGCUUGGACGAUGAAGAUGUUGAUUGAUGCAGUGACAAAUUCGGGGCUAUCGACCUUAUCGAAUACAUUGGAUGAAAGUGUUGAUGAUGGAGGAGUUGAGCAAGCGGAUAAGGAGAUAACGAAUGAGAUGGAAGCGAUGGCUGCUGCGUAUCACAUUUUCAGGAACGUCGCUCCGCCGAGCCGCAAGUGAGAAACGAAAGGGUUCAGCAGAUUAACGGAUUGUUUGGUUUGUUUGGUCUUUGGGUAACCAUGGUGUAUUUUCUGCAGGUACUUCGAAGAAGAAGAUCUUGGGAGGUUCAUGAUCAAGGAAGAGGUGGAUCUUAUCUUCCCAUUGCUUGAAGGAGCAGCAACUGGAAAAAUUGACAUAAAAUCUUUGUCAGACUGGGUGGUCAGUGUAUUAACGUUUAAUUCAUUAUAAUUUUUAUCUGUUGCCCUUUUACACGUAAAGAGCAGUUAACAUGCAUCGUCGCUCCGCACUCUGUCUUCAUUCCAGUGACCUGUAUUUUAAUGUGAAUUUUCUGAGAAAUGAAGGGAGAUUUUAACGUGAGAUACAAUUUUUUUACAGGUGAAGGUUUAUCAAGGCCGCAAAGCGCUGGUACAUGCUUUGACAGACACAAAAACAGCAGUAAAGCAAUUGAACAAGCUCGUGACAGGAAUAUUGAUCGUUAUUACCAUCAUCAUAUGGCUUCUUUUGAUGGAAAUUGCUACGACCAAAGUACUAGUCCUGCUUUCGUCACAGCUUGUUGUGGCAGCUUUCAUUUUCGGCAACACAUGCAAGACAAUAUUUGAGGCUAUCAUCUUUGUGUUUGUUAUGCAUCCAUUUGAUGUUGGCGAUCGUUGUGUCAUUGAUGGAGUUCAGGUAACUCUAAAGAGAAACGCCUCCACAACACUUCCACUUUUCUGUUGAGAUGAGUCUGACUUACAGCAAUUCCUAUUUCUCAUGGCAGUUGUUGGUGGAGGAGAUGAAUAUCUUGAACACUGUCUUCUUGAAGCUCGAUAAUGAAAAAAUCUACUAUCCAAAUUCAGUUUUGUCUACGAAACCUAUAAGCAAUUACAACAGAAGCUCAGACAUGGGCGAUAAGGUGGAGUUCUCAAUUGAUAUUAUGACUCCAUUGGAAACAAUUGGAGCAAUGAAAGAGAAGAUAAAAAAGUAAGUUGAUGGAACUGCUACAGUUUCCUUCAUUUCUUAUUGCAAAUGUUGUGGCCCAUAUAGACUUGUUUGGUACAGGACCAUAUGAAAGAUUAUAGCAACUCUUUCUAAUGACUAGCCUUCUUGAUCAGGUACUUGGAGAAAAAUCAGCUACACUGGCGCCCGAACCACAACUUGCUUGUGAGUGAGAUCGAGAACGUGAACAAGAUUAAGAUGGGGCUCUACGUCAAUCACACAAUGAACUUCCAAGAUUACGCAGAGAAGGGCAGACGGAGGACUGAACUAGUCAUGGAGUUAAAAAAGAUUUUCGAUGACUUGAAUAUUAGAUAUAAUCUCCUUCCUCAAGAGGUCCGUCUUUGCCAGAUUGAGGAUAAGAAACAGGCGUGAAGGGCAGGUGAUGACUGCAUUUGGCCGUCGAAUGAAUGCUCUGAAAAUCUGCCAAAGUCAGUGGUUUCGUCCGCUAAAUAAAGGAGGUGACUAGGUCUUUUGAUAAAUUGGGCUACCUCAUUGUUCUUUUCACAUGGCGAUGGAGCAAGGCCUACAGAAGACAGUUGCAUCACCUCGGGCAUGUCAAGACAAUCAAAAGACCCAAUUACUGAUGCACGAUAAUCGUGUAUUGCAAAGCAUACCUUAAUCUUGUUCUGUCUUUUGGAUGUUAUGCGACACGUUUUUUAUAUUGUGGCUUGGCGACUCUGUCCCAGUUGUUAUUUGAAACAUGAGGCUAUGAAUGAUGUUAGUGAAUGUAAUCACCUUACCUGGAGUAUGAGUUAUUUGCUCAGCCAAAUACGAGUGAUCAUAAGUAUGUCUCUUGCACAUGAAUGUGUGCUCAAAUGUGCCUUGUGUGCGUGCAUGUAUUGGUGAGGUUCAGGCCGAAGACCAGAGGUUUGUCUGCGCGGUUGCAUUAGUGCAGGUGCAUGAGUAUGAUAGAAAUUGGUGGUUAUGAUGUUGGGCUGCAUUGUCAAAUGAUCAUAGGCAUUGUGCCGAUCCAGUAGUUUGACUGCAGUGUGCGCAGCGCGUGUUGACUCUUUAAAUCUGUGAAUUUCCAAGCUCUCAUCUGUGCAGAAUCCAAUCAAUCUCAUUUAUGCAAUAUCAAUCGGGAUAAGCUCGUUUCAAACAGGCAGGGGAAGAGGAUGGAGAGAACCCAGGAUUACCUCUGAUACUGCCUCCAGAUAGCCAACGACAACGGCUUUCCCCAGCUAUAAUUGUCUACCACAAGCGCGAUUAUGACGAACACAGCAACAAUGACAAUAACAGUAAUGCUAGUAAUAACAAUAACAUUAGUAAUAAUAAUAAAAACCAACGAGAAGAGGUCCUUUCCUCUUCUCAACUCUACGAUGACAAUGUCAGUCCUGCGUUCCGCUAGAACAUUGGUGCAAUCUUACUAUGAUAUUUCAAUCGUGGUUGAUCAAGCCAGGAUCAACGGUUGGUACAGCAAGCCACAUGAGGUGAGCUCUCUCAUUGAAUUAGGGUCAAUCGCAAGUUUAGUGAACAUUGCUUUGGUCACAAGCAUACGGGGCAGACAAAAUAGUGAAUUUGCUGAUCGAUUUGAAUCAACUCGUUUGGUGUGUAUUCGCGGUGAGAAAGAUCCCUAAUCAUGUAGCUGAAUUCGGAUGUUAUAUUGAACUGUCGUUAUAACCUCCGCCGCAGAUCGAGCUACGAGAGAAAAUAGCCCGAGGGACCACCGUGGAGAUAUACAGGGCCUUGUGGCGGGGCCUCGACAUGACUGUCAAGGGCAUCUUCCCAAAAUUCUUCCACACGAACCAGAGCGGCACCACGUUCUUCACGCAGGAGCUCGAGGCCCUGCCGCAGCCGCGGCACCGUUUCGUGCUGCAGCUGAUGGGCGCAUGCAUCGACCCGCCCGAGUGCACGUGGAUAGUGACCCGAGUUCCUGGGCUCAACGCUGAAGGAAUGGCUCCACGGGCCUGGGAACCACAAGAUGGGUGAGAGGGCGAAGCCGAUGCCUCCGUUCGGGAAGCGGUUGAGCGUGACGUUGGAGAUAGCUCACGAGCAGAAGCCCAGGGUGAUCCACAUAGAGUUGAAGCCUAGCAACACCUUCUUGGAUGAUGCGAUGAAUGUUGGGACGAUUAUUACACUAUCCUUUUCCUCAAUUACUCACAAUUUGAGAGUAAUUGAGCUGACGCUUACAGAAAAUGUUUAGAUUUUAGAGAGGGAUCAAUGCAAAUUGCAGUUCUCCGAGCGUGGCAGUCAUAUGAAAAAUUGCGUAGUGGAACGUUUUUGAGUUAUGUGCAAGAUGGAUGGAUAGUUUGUUACUUUACGUACUUCCUAGCUUUGUUAACAUUACAAUUUAGACAUCAUUAGUAUGCUUAGCAAAGAAAAGAGGAGGUGAUUUUGAGUAGACGGGAGUUUCUUUAACAAAAUUAAUUGAUCCGAUUUUGAGCAUUCACGCCUAUUGAAAAUUGUCAAUGAUGUGCUAGUGUUAGGGAUGUGAACAACCGAACUGAAAAUGUUUGGUCUUUGCAGUUCAAUUCUUGUUCAGUUUUUAAGUAAUAUGACAGAAAACGAAGAAACGAGAGAAAAUUUUCUUUGUAUUCAUUGAUUUGUAUACAAGCACAUUAGUACAUUUAUAGUGCAAGAAUGGAAGAGAAUAAAAGGAAACAAUAUAUGUAAAUUUUCUAUUUACCAAAACUUCCUAUUCACUAAAUCAAUCAAUCUAUAAAUAGAAUAUAUCACAAUCUCCAACAUUCCCCCUCAAGCUGAUGGCCUAUAUAUGUCGAGGACACCCAGCUUGCUCAGAAGAUAACUAUGUUGUCUCUAAUGGCUUAGUCAAGAUGUCUGCAGGUUGAUCCAUCAUUCCAAUGCCCUUUGCUACAAGGAUUCCUUCUUUGAUCUUAUCUCGCGUGAAGUGACAAUCAACCUCUAUAUGUUUUGUCCUUUCAUGAAAAACUAGAUUUGCUGCCAAUUUGAGUGCAGCAUCGUUGUCACAAAAUAAUUCAGUUGGUCCACUCACCUUUAACCCGAGAUCUGAAAGUAAUUCUUGAAUCCAAACCACUUCGCAAGUUGUCAUUGCCAUUGCUCGAUACUCUGAUUCAGCCGAUGAUAAAGAGACAGUCAAUUGCUUCUUUGUCUUCCAUGAGAUUAGUGACUUGCCCAACUUGAUGCAAAAACCAAUAAUUGAUCUUCUGGUCAUUGGACAAGUAGCAUAAUCUGUAUCACAGAAUGCUGUCAUCUUCAUGUUGCAGUCACAGGAUAAGAAAAUUCCAAGUCCUGGACAUCCCUUCAAGUAUUUCACAACCUUUAGGGUUGCAUUCAUAUGAGAUUGUUUUGGACUAUGUAUGAAUUGACUAGGUAUCUGCACUGCAUAACAUAUAUUCGGUCCUGUCAUAGUAAGAUAUAUCAGUUUACCAACAAGUCGCUGAUAUGCUGACGGAUCUUUGAGGAGUAGGUCCUCAGUAGAUGAAGAAGAAUUCAGAUCAUAUUCAUGAGUAGUCAAUUUGGCAUUCUGCUCAGCUGAUACGAUUGCUGGUUUGCAUAUGGACAAUCCAGCUUCGGAAACAAUUUCAAGGAUGAAUUUCCUCUAACUGAGAUUGAUACCUUUGUCGGAUUGAGCAAUUUCAAUUCUAAGAAAAUAUUUGGGCAAUCCCAAAUCCUUAAUAUGGAAAGUAGAAUGCAAAUACUUUUUUAAAUCUUGUAGCAUGAGAUUUAUUGUUUCCCAUAACAAAUAUAUCAUCAACAUAUAUCAGCAGAUAGAUGAAUGAAUUACCUUUACUCCAUGUAAACAGGGCAUAAUCAUGCUUAGAAUGCCGAAAUCCCGCAUUAGUCAAUGUAGUAGUGAGCUUGGCAUAUCAUUGUCUAAAUGUCUGCUUCAGUCCGUACAGGGAUUUGCGUAGACGACAUACCCGAGACUCCCCCUGUCUACGUAAUCCCUAUGGAAGCUCCAUAUAGAUCUCUUCAUCGAGAUCGCCAUGAAGGAAGGCAUUGUUAACAUCCAUAUGAUGUAAAGACCAAUUUCUAAUGGCUGCAAUGGAUAAGAAGGAACAAACGGUGACCUCUUUGGCAACAGGUGAAAAAGUUUCAUGAUAAUCGAAGCCUUCUCUCUGAGUGAAUCCUUUAGCCACUAGCCGAGCUUUAUAUCUUUCAACUGAACCAUCUGCCCGAAACUUGAUUUUAUAAACCCAUUUACAUCCGAUGGGCUUUCGGUGUAGAGGAAGUGGAACAAUGUCCCAAGUAUGAUUUUCGAUCAAGGCAGUAAGUUCUAAUUCCAUCGUGUGUUGCCAUCUUGGAUCACGAGAUGCUUCGUGGAAAGAAGAAGGUUCGUUUUCCUUCGAGAGACGGCUGACGCAGCACAUAUGUUCCGGUGAUAGUCUAUUAAAAGACACAUAUGAAGAGACAUGAUACUUUGUAGCUGGAGAAUGUGAUGCAGAACAAAUGUAGUCCUUAGUCCACGUGGGUGGACGAGUUUGCCGUCCAGUACGUCGAGGCUGCUCAGCCACUAUUGGUUCAGGUGCUAAGGAAGAUUCAGAAGUAGUCUCUGAUGGAGCUGAGGCAGAAGGAGGAUCCUUAGAGAACUCUGAAGGUAAGUCUUCUCUAGAAAAAGUGGUAUUCCUUGGAACAAGAAUGGAUGGUUCCGGAGCAACGAAUAGAUAUUGAGAAGCCAUAGAUAAAUCUUCUUCAGAUAGAAAAGGCCUAUGAUUUGGAGAUGAUGACGUAGAGGACAAAGAUAUCAUAUCCUUAAAAGAAAAGAUGUCCUUGUGAAAUAUAACAUCCCUACUGACAAAGAAAUGUCCAGUAGAAAUUUCCAUAACUCGAUAACCUUUCUGAAGAGAUGGGUAUCCCAUGAAUAUGCAUUGUGUGACACGAGGGGCCAUCUUAUCCAAAGAGCCAACAUUUGUCGCAUAACACAAACAACCAAAUACUCGAAGAUGAUCAUUGCGAGGCUGUCUAUUAUAAAACAGUUCAAAAGGAGUUUUCUCAUCCAAAAUACGAGUUGGCAUGCGAUUAAUCAAAUAGGCAGCAGUGACCACACAAUCUCCCCAAAAACCUUUAGGAAUAGAGGCUUGAUAUUUUAAUGCACGUGCUACUUCUAAGAGAUGCCUGUGCUUACGCUCUACAAUUCCAUUUUGUUGUGGUGUGUAAGUACAAGAACUCUCAUGAAGUAUCCCUUGAGAAGAUAGGAAUUUUGUGCAAUCAGAAGUGAAAAAUUCACGCCCAUUAUCUGUACGAAUUCGUUGCACAGAUUGAUUGAAUUGAUUUUUAACCAGGGAAACAAAGUUCGAAAGAUGAGUAAAUGUUUGACUCUUUGAUUGCAUAAGAUAUAUCCAAGUGCCCCUCGUAUAAUCAUCUACAAUCGUCAGGAAAAAACAGGAGCUAUCACGAUGAGAAGUGUGAUAAGGUCCCCAGAUGUCCAUAUGAAGUAAAGAAAAUUUCUGGUCCGCUCGAGACGUACUCUUUGGAAAGGAUGCUCGGGAUUGUUUGGUCAAGGGACAUAUGGGACAUUGAGAAUGAGGAAAACAUGCACUAUGACCCAAUUUUUGAUGAAAAAUAAUAUUUUUAUUUCAACUAAUAGCAUUACAAGAGAUGUCUUUAUUUAGUAAUUCCAUAUCUCUUGGAGAAUCAAUCCAGUAGUAUAGUCCGUCUGCAAUACUACCCAAGCCUAUCAGCUUGCCAGUCGAACGGUCUUGAAAGAAACAAUUGUUGGAACUAAAUAUUGUAUGAAAGGAACUAUCUAUGCAAACUUUUGAGACAGAGAGUAUGUUGAAUUCAAAUUCAGGAACGUAGAGGACAUUUCUAAAGACAAAAUGGGGCCCAAGAUGAACAGUGCCAGUCUUGGUAACUUGAGUGACAUUUCCAUUUUGAAGACGUACUGAUAUAGGAAAUUUUGAUUUUCUAUCGACAUGGGAAAAAAGGUGCUCAUGACAAAUUAUGUGAUCACUAGCCCCUGUAUCGAUUAUCCAUGCAUUCAUAGAAAAGGAAUUCUCCUUGUAAAGAAAAGUACCUGAGAAUCCUGCACUUUUGUCACUCAUCUGCAAUUGAUUCAGAAUCUGCAGGAUAUUCUGAUACUGAUCUUGAGUAAUUGUCUGAUGUACCCCAUCAUUCCUUUGUGUCAAGACCUAAUAAGUUGACGAUUCUUUUUCUUUUCUAUUUUUAUCAGUAGGCUUUCCAUGCAAUUUCCAACAUGCAUCAACAAUAUGAUGUGGGCGUUUGCAAUAUUCACAAUAUUUAUUUUUGAAUUUAUUAUUUUGCCCACUAACCUUUCCUGAUGUGGUGCCUUAUAAACUGGAGAUGACGUGGCGUGAUAAUGGCCCUCGGAUCGAUCCGGAUUGAUGGACGAUCUGUAGCUGUCCGUUGCAGCACGUCAAUCUACACUGUCAAUUGUCUUGCGUUGAUAUGAACCGUCCAAGAUGCCGCGUGAAUCCAAGCCGUUAGAUCGUCCGCGUGAAUACCCACUUUUGGGUAUCCCAGGUGCACAACUGAUCCGCUACCUCUAGCUGCCGCCUCACGUGAACCCAUGCUAGACGAAAAAGCCGCAAGACCAAGGCCUUCUCCGACUCGAGCGUGUCCGGCCGUGGCGAGGCGCUAACUUUCCUCCUGGACAGCGAGCCGGUAGAUGCGUUCGAGCGGCGACGAAGGUUCCAUCGCGAGGAUUUGAGAUCGGAAGGCCGAAUAAUCCUCGUUGAGAAUGAGUAAGAACCGUGUGGUCUUUUCUCGUUCUCGAAUUUCUUUGUAUUAUCUCAGAGUUUCCUUGGGUCCCUGUAGGUGCUCUUCGGACGAUUGCAACUCAUUCCACAGAGAUGAGAGACGGUUGAAGCAAGUGGUAACCGAGAGGUUCCCUUGCUUCAACUCAGUCAAGCCUGGGUGAUGCUGAAGAGCCAUGCGUGAUCAAGCCGGCCAUACAUCUCCCCGAUGUUCUCCCAGAUUUGUUUGGAGUCUUCAGUAGGUGGUAAUCCAGCCGCGACAUCGGGAGCGAGUGUGUUGCCGAUCCAAGUGCGAACCAACUGGUUGCACUUCCGCCAGUGUCGCCGGAGACGCUUGUCGGUCGGGAAUGGGACGGCUCUGUUGAGGAAGCCGUCCGUGUCUUUCGUCACUAGAGCACGCCAGAAAUCUCAAGCCCACGAGGAGUAGCUUUCCGGUCCGGUGAGUUGGAUGCUGAUGAGACGCAAUUCGGGGCCGUCUGCUGGCGACAUGUAGAAGGGGUCGCCGGGCUCAAGCCGGCCGCCACCGCCAACCGGAAAGAACAUCGGCAUGUAUCCGAGUUGGAAUGCCGGGUAGGGAUUCAUCCCUUGACCCGGCAUAGGUCUGGGUCCUUGACCCGGAUUCGUGUGGCCCAACUCUUCUGAUGGGCCAGCUAUGAAAGGUGUGGAUCCAGAUGGAUAUUGGGCCCAUGUCUGUCCUGGCCCACUACCCCAUUGAUACCAAUUAGGAGGCCACUGGACUGGACCGGAAAUUGGGCCGGGAAUUGGACCCAAUGGAGGAACGGAUUUGGCUGGAUCUUAAGUUUCUUCUUGCUGAACAGAGGACCGCUCCUUGCUGGAAAGGAUGGUCGGAUCUGAGGAGGGCGUCUCCUCUGUGGAGGAGCUCUCGAUGUUUUUGUUCUUUGUCAUGGUAAAAAAAAAGGAAUUCCUCGAUUUGCUGGUCUAUUUUGCAGGGUAAGAUCGUGCAACAAUCAGGCCAGAAAAAAAAUGAAGGCGAUUUCUAAAUAUGCGGAAGCUAGAUCAGGAACAGAAGAGCUCUGACACCAUGACAGAAAACGAAGAAACGGGAGAAAAUUUUCUUUGUAUUCAUUGAUUUGUAUACAAGCACAUUAGUACAUUUAUAGUGCAAGAAUGGAAGAGAAUAAAAGGAAACAGUAUAUGUAAAUUUCCUAUUUACUAAAACUUCCUAUUCACUAAAUCAAUCAAUCUACAAACAGAAUAUAUCACAAUCUCCAACAUAAUAAGUAAAGGACCUUGGGUAGUUUGCCGGUUCAAUUCCGUUCCAUUCGGGUUUUCGUUUUUCGUAUUUCUUUCAAAGCUGAAGAUCUAAACAUGAAGGGAUUUGCGUCUCAACCAUCAAGUAUAUUCUGAAUUCAAGUCGUUCCAUUCAUGAAAAUUCAGUACGCUCGAUUGGGAAAGAGCUGCAGGCAUCGAAGCUCAUGGUCACGGGCUUUAUGCUGUGCUCUGUAAUUUAACCGUAUUCCUAUCUUUUUAACUCUACUCCUAUCUGACAAAAUUGCUGAUACGUACGUUCUGUUUUCAUUUUAGACAUGAAAUGCUCAAUGAAAAAACCUUAUGUUCAUUCACGAGAUAUUCACGUGAUAUGUUUCAAUCUUUAGUUCAUAUUUUGUUUUACCGAUAGUUCCAAAAAAAAAAAGAAAAAAAGAAAGGGUUUGCAUUAAACCAGCGAUCUCAUCUUUUUGGCAGGAUUUUGGGCAUGUCUAGUCAAGUGGAAAAAUAUUGUUAAUGAGACAAUUACCUUUAUAAUAUAUGAUAGCAGGCCACAUAAAUGAUGAACUCACGAUUGCUUUACUAAACUUUACCUUGCGAGAAGAGCAAAAAGGAGAAGAAGAGGAAAAUCGAAAAUCUGAACCUAAUUGGGUCAUAUUUGGUUCGGUUCAAUUUUUUUGGAAACUUGAACCGAACUGUUGACAUUCAUAACAAGUUUGUACGAUCAAUUAUAGGAAAAUCACCAUAAGUCUUAUUGAAGAAAUUUAAUAUAGCAUAAAAAUAUUUCAGUCUUUGUAAUUAAGACCUCAAAGUCUAUGAAACAAGUGCAAUCAAGGUCUUCCUUACAAAAGUUUCCUGAUUUUUCCUAGGGCAUCUUAUUUGGGUGCCAUUUGAACUAUUUUCCAACGUGGUGCUAGUAUUCGCCAUAAGGACUUAAUUGACUUCUUUUUCGAAAGGUUGAAGAAUUAAUCUUAACCAUUUAAAAGGCUUAAAUAGCACUAGGAAAGCAAACAUACUACUACAUUCGAUGCACUUUUUCUGUCGAUUAUCUGUCCUCCAAUUCCUUUUUCUCACUGAUGAAGAGAUUUGGCUACCUAAAGAUCCACAGAAUAUGCUACAAGUCAUGGACCGGUAAGCAGUUAUGUCAGAUCUUUGAACUGUGCAAGAGGAGUUUGCAUGUAAUUGGUGGAAAAUCAAGCAGAUUGCAUUCAUUUUUCUGAUUUUUCUUUUUUUAAAUUAACGUUCUAUAUAACUACGCCAACCAUGAAGAUUCAUACUUUCGUGAGAAAAUGAUAUGCUAAUGUAGAAGUAUUCUGCUAUUCAUUAUUAAUUUUUCCUUAAAAUUGCUUUCGUUUUUUCACUCUUAGCAAUAUGUUUUUUUAUUUGGUCGGAUACUCUUAGCAAUAUUGAAGAUAAGCGAAGUGUCAAUACCAAAUAGAGGAAGGCAUGAUAUCGAGAAGGCUCUACUCAAAUAAAGUGAAGUCAUACUCACCAUGCAAACUAAAGAUCAUGUCAGGCUGCAUCAUCAAAUGAUCAUAGGCAUUGUGCCGAUCCAGUAGUUUGGUUGCAGUGUGCGCAAGGCACGAUGACUCUUUGUAAAUUUGUGAAGGUCCAAGCUCUCAUCUAUGCGAAAUAUUCAGCCAAUCGGGAUAAGCUCGUUUCAAAUACAUUGAGUAUCCCGCCCAAGCUCGAUAAGGGGAAAGAAAAACAUUGAAUAUGCCAAGGAAGAUCCCCAAAAUCCAGAAAGGUACUAACCUCAAUAGUAAUGACAACAAGGCUUCGUAUGACAGGGGUAUGCAAAGAAAAGAAUCGUGUUUCUUUUUCUCGGUGUAAUUUAGAAGUUCGAAGGUUUCGAACAAUCUUCUUCUCCUUUUAAAAUCCAAGUUUGCUAGCGCAAGCCUCGACAGUGGAUCGCAUAAUCCUUUUGCUCAAUAUGUAAGCGAACUAUCAUUUUGAAAUUGUGACACCAGCAAGGACAAAUGCUACUUUCGGGAGGACUCUUCAUUAUUUUAGAGAACUGAAACAUCUUCCUGCCAUAUGAUGUAAAGUAAUAAUCUCCACCAAAAUUUGAUAUAUUUAUAAUGAGGAUGACAUUACCCUAUUUAUAGGCUUUAGGAGAUGACUAUUGAAGGUGCAUAUCGAUCAAGGAUGUGCAUUAUCAAAUGAGAUAUAUGAGAGAUGUUCAUAAUCAAGUAUAUCUCCUUAUAUCGCUAACAGAAAUGUUGCCCGCCAUUUGGCCAAGUGAAAAAUUGUUCAAAAAAGUGUUAAACCUAUUGUACAAUAGCAACUUUGGUUUUGAACUUUCUAAUUAUGCUAAUUUAAUCCUAAACUCUUUGAUGAUUUGUCAAUACCAGUAUUCCGAUCAAUUUUGGCUAGAGAUUGAUGACGUAGACGUCGGGCAUUUUGAGUGCAUUUAGUUCAGCAUUCCAAGGGACUUUUGGCCUCCGAAGUCCCUUGAGAAAAUGUUGGAUCUUUUGGCAAUUAUUUUGAAAAAAAAUUUAAGUGAAAGCUAGCAUUAAGAAGGCUGGAAGCCCAAAAUUAGUAGGGAUUAGUAUUGAGUCUUCAACAUUUGGCCAAAUGCAAAAACUUAUUUUUCUCUUCCAAAACUAUCCUCACCAAUUUUUCAAAUUUCCAAAUUUAUCCCUCAUUGUUUUUUUAUUUUUAUUUUUAUCUAUUAUUAUUAAAGAAAGCUUCAUCGCCUCGGGCAUGUCAAGACAAUCAAAAGACCCAAUUACUGAUGCACGAUAAUUGUGUAUUGCAAAGCAUACCUUAAUCUUGUUCUGUCUUUUGGAUGUUAUGGGACGCCUUUUUUAUAUUGUGGCUUGGCGACUCUGUCCCAGUUGUUUUUUAAACAUGGGGCUAUGAAUGAUGUUAGUGAAUGUAAUCUACCUUACCUUGAGUAUGAGUUAUUUGCUCAGCCAAAUACGUGUGAUCAUACGUAUUUCUCCUGCACAUGAAUGUGUGCUCAAAUGUGCCUUUGUGCGGGCAUGUAUUGGUGAGGUUCCGGCUGAAGACCAGAGGUUUGUCCGCGCGGUUGCAUUAGUGCAGGUGCAUGAGUAUGAUAGAAAUUGGUGGUUAUGAUGUUAGGCUGCAUUGUCAAAUGAUAAUAGGCAUUGUGCCGAUCCAGUAGUCUGACUGCAGUGUGCGCAGCGCGUGAUGACUCUUUAAAUCUGUGAAUUUCCAAGCUCUCAUCUGUGCAGUAUCCAAUAAUCUCAUUUAUGCAAUAUCAAUCGGGAUAAGAUCGUUUCAAACAGCUAGGGGAAGAGAAUGGAGAGAGCCAAGGAUUACGUCUGAUACUGCCUUUAGAUAGCCAAAGACAGUGGCUUUUCUUCAGCUAUAGUUGUGUACCCACAAGCGCGAUUAUGACGAACACAGCAACAAUGACAACAACAGUAAUGCUAGUGAUAACAAUAACAUUGGUAAUAAUAAUAAAAACCAACGAGAAGAGGUCGUUCUCUCUCCUCAACUCUACGAUGGCAAUGUCAGUCCUCCGUUCGCUGGAACAUUGAUGCAACCUUACUCUGAUAUUUCAAUCGUGGUUGAUCAGGCCAGGAUCAAUGAUAUAUUGAGCCACAUGAGGUGAGUUCUCUCAUUGAACUAUGGUCAAUCAUAAGUUUAGUGGACAUGAUUUUGGUUACAGAGUGAACUUGCCAAUCGAAUUAAAUCGAAUUGAAUCGAAUCGAUAUGAUUUGUGUGUAAUUCGGACGUUAUAUUGAUAUAUUGUUGUAACCUCGGCCCUAGAUCAAGCUGCGAGAGAAAAUAGACCGAGGGACCACCGCGGAGAUAUAUAGGGCUGCGUGGCGGGGCUCCGACGUGGCGGUCAAGUGCAUCUUGCCCGACUUCUUCCGCACGAACCAAAAUGGUGUUGCCUUCCCCACGUAGGAGGUCGAGACCCUGUCACUGCACCGGCACUGGCACCGGUUCGUGCUGCAGCUGAUGGGCGCGUGGAUGGUGAUCAAGCUCCUGGGAUUCACGCUGAAAGAAUGGCUCCACGGGCCGGGGAACCAGAGGAUGGGUGAGAUGGCGAAGCCCUCCGUUCGGGGGGUGGUUGAGCCUGGCUUUGGAGAUAGCCCAAGCAACAUCUUCUUGGACGGUGCGACGAAUGUUGGGAUGUAAUUUAAACUCCCCAUCGACAAUUGCAUUGUCCUUUCCCUCAAUUACUCACAAUUUGAGAGUAACUAAGCUGAUGGUUACUGAAAAUGUUUAGAUUUUAGAGAGGGAUUAAUGCAAAUUGCGAUUCUCCGAGUGUGUUUGGCAUAUGAAAAAUUGCUUGGUGGAGCGUUUUUGAGUUAUAUGUAAGAUGGAUGGUACUUUAUUGUUUACGCAUCUCCUAGGAUUGUCAACAUUGCAAUUUGGACAUCAUUAGUAUGCUUAACAAAGAAAAAAGGAGGUGCUUUUGAGUAGACACGAGUUUUUUUUCAACGAAAUUAAUUGAUAUGAUUUUAAGCAUUCGCUCUCAUUGAAAAUUAUCAAUGACAUGCUAGUAGUAAGGGAUGUCAAAAUCGAACCAAAAGUUUUAAUUUUUUGAUUCGGGUCUUAUUCGAUUUUUGACACCUCUAUCAUUGGGUAGACCUUCAUUUUUGCUACUGCUUACAUUAUUUUCAUUUUAGACAUGAAAAGCUCAAUGAAGAAACCUUAUGUUAAUUCACGAGAUAUGUUUCAUCCUUAGUUCGUAAAACAUUACUUUGUUUUCCCGAAAGUUUCCCAAUAUAUAUAUAUAUAUAUAUAUAUAUAUAUAUAUAUAUAUAUAUAUAUAUGCCGUGAUCAGUGGAAUNNNNNNNNNNNNNNNNNNNNNNNNNNNNNNNNNNNNNNNNNNNNNNNNNNNNNNNNNNNNNNNNNNNNNNNNNNNNNNNNNNNNNNNNNNNNNNNNNNNNAGCACUUUGGGCAUGUCUUGUCAAGUUGAAAAACAUUGUGAAUGAGACAAUUACUUUUAUAAUAUAUGAUAGUUGGCCACAGAAUGAUAGAAAUGAUGAACCCACGAUUGCUUUACUAAACUUUACCUUGCGAGACAGGAAAAAAGAAGGAGAGGGAAACUGAAAAUCCAAACCGAAUCAGGUCAUAUUGGAUUCGGUUCGAUUUUCUUGAAAAUCCCAAACUGAGCCGUUGACAUUCAUAGCUAGUGUUUACAAUCAAUUAUAUGAAAAUCGCCAUAAGUCUUAUUGGAGAAAUUCCAUAUAGCACAAUUUUUUUUUCGAUGCUUGUAAUUAAGACCUUGAAGUUUUUGAAACAAGUGCAAUUAAGUUCUUCCUUACUAAAGUUUCCUGAUUUUUCCUAUGGCAUCUUACUUGGGUACCAUUUGGACUAUUUCCCGCGUGGUGCUAGUGUUCGCCAUAGGGACUUAAUUGACUUCUUUUUCAGAAGGUCCCAUUUGAAAGGCUUAAAUUGCACUAUGAAAACAAAUAAACUACUACAUUUGAUGCACUUUUCCCGUCGAUUAUCUGUCCUCCAAUUCCAUUUUCUCACCGAUGAAGAGAUUUGGCUACUUGAAUAUCCACGGAAUGUUCAGAUCAUUGACCUGUGCAAUUGGGUCCGGCUCUAGGGGAGUUUGCAUGUAAUUGGUGGAAAAUCAAACAGGUUGCAUUAAUUUUCUGAAUUAAAAAAAUUAACGUUUUAAAUAACUACGCCAACCAUGAUGAUUCAUACUUUCGUGAGAAAAUGAUAUGCUAAUGUAGAAGCAUUCCGCUAUUCAUUAUUAAUUUUAUCUUAAAUUUGCUUUCAUUUUUUUAACUCUUAGCAAUACUUUUUCUUUGGUCGGAUACUCUUAACAAUAUUGAAGAUAAGCAAAGUGUCAAUAUUAAAUACAAGAAGGCAUGAUAUCGAGAAGGCUCUACAUAAAUAAAGUGAAGUUAUACUCACCAUGCAAACUAAAGAGGCAAUGGAUCAUGGGCAGGCCGAGGUGACAUUAGGCUUCACCUCUCGACCUCUCCUUUUCGAGUCCCCUUAAUGCACAGCACCAAAUGUGAUGCCGUUUUGCUGCUAGUCAAGACGUCGUCCACCAUCUCUGGCCGAGGAAAAAUUAUUCAAAAAAGCCCGAAAUUUAUUGUACACGACCAAUUCAAUUCUAAAAUUUUCAAUUAUGUUUAUUUAAUUCUAAACAUUUUAACGAUCUACCAAUAAUCAUUUUGAUCAAUUUUGGCUAGAUAAUUGACAAUGUGGAUGUCGGUUGUCUUUUGUGGCAUGGUCGACAUUAACAUAAAUAAUUUUCACAAUUUUUUUAAAUUUUUCUUGGGCUGGUCCUUAAUAGUAUGAAAAAUAGAAAAAUUAAGAAAAUUAAGAAAAAUAAAUGAAUAAAUGUCAAGUUGGUGUGAGGCUAUGCUAUGUAGAACAAUUGGCAUUCACAUUAAUAAUUUAUAGCCAAAUUAGCUAGAAGGACUAUAUUGGCAAAUUGUCGAAAGGUUUAAAAUUAAUUUGAUGCAAUUAAAAGAUUCAAAAUUAAAUUAGUUGAUAUCCAAUAAGUUUAUGAUUUUAUGGACAAUUUUCCCUCGAGCCAACCACAUAACAUUUGUGUCCAUAUCAAUAGAGUAAACUCAAUCAAGUAAUUAUCGAGUGCACUUCAUAUAUCUCUCGUUGCAAGUUCACACUGAAACGUUCUCCCAAAAGAAGUCAUCGAGAAUGUUAUGCAAGAUAGUCGUUCGUCAUUUCAUUGAUCACAAAUCCUCACGAGUCUCGCCAUAUUCACCUAUUAAUUAGAUUGACAAGAUACACAAUCCUCUUCUGAGAAUUGAUGAGACAACUCCCAACUGUUUUAAAAGCUUAACUGUUAGAUUAAUGCGUGGUUUAAUAUUUUAUUAUUUUAUCAACCUUCAUGCUUAGUCUGGUAUUUUUGUCUAGUAUUAAGUGUGGAUAUAUUUAAUUGAUGAGAUAAUUGGACCUGAAAAGAUUUGAACUCAAGAUCUCCAAUUCCGAUACUAUGUGAGAUUUUGUGGGAUCACUACAAACUGUUCUAAAAUGUCAAGCUAUUAGAUAUAUGUGUGAUUUAAUAUUUAAUUAUUCUAUUACAUCUUAUCUAAAACUUAUUCGAAAUGACUAUCAUCAAAGCUUAUAAAAGAUCUCUUUUUCCUGGUCGGGUUCUCUAAUGAUCACAUGCUCCUUUAUGAGAUGUGGAUAGGACUAGUCGAAAGAAUUACCUGUGAUUGUGACCCCACAAAAUUUGCUAAGAAGCAAGACAUUCACCUAAGGGGGUGCUUAGUUGACGAUACAAUUUGCUCAAUUUCUAAAUUGAGAUUGAAUAACAGUUCUGAUUAAUUAAAUAGCCAUUUACGAGUUAAAUGAAGGUAAUAUACGAAAUGUGAGUAAUCAAGUAUAUUUAUCUUGCAAGUCAUCGAUCAAUUUCAAGCCCGCUCUAGUGGAACUAAGCAUGAUUUAUGAAUUUACAAAUGACGAUCGAAUCACUCAACUUAGUUUAUCCUUACUGAAUAUCCAACAGUUUCAAGGUCAGACUUAGAAAGUUGUUCUCAUUGGCCAAAGAAGGAAGGAAAGUCUCAUAGAGUACAUUAUGUUCAUAGGAGAAAAUAUUCAGUGGUUAGCAACUACCAUGUCAUCGAUUGACCUGGCGUGUAUGCUCUACUGAAAAAGCGACAUAUGUCCGGUGACCUGGAAUAUGUAGGAAUUGAAAAAUUAAAACCGAAAGGGCUCGGACGCUCUUUUCUCUCUCCUAAGCCACUGAUACAAGGAAUGAUAAAUGCAUUGUCCCCGCUCAAAACCCUCUCUCUCAUCUUUUCAAUUUUUCAAGCUAUGGCUUCAUCACUAGCUCUCUCUCUCUCUCUCUCUUCUCUCUCUCUCUCUCUCUCUUCUUUCUCUCUCUCUCUCUCUCUCUCUCUCUCUCUCUCUCUCUCUCCUCUGUUCAAAGAAAAUGUUUAUUGACAAGAAGACGACAUUUUUCUUCGUCCAUCUUCUCCAGAAAAUCAAACGUUGUAGCAAUUUCCGUUAACGCAAAUCAAGCAACAGGCGUAGCCUCGGAUGACCAGCACCUGGAGAGUGGGAGAUUAUUCGCAGUCUCCAAAAAGAAUUUGGUUGGAAGCAUUAGGUUGCUGACUUGAGCUGUCAAAGCCGGAAUGAAAAAAUGGUAAUGAACUUGUGAAAAGUUUUGUUCUGAAAGAGAUUUUGGGAAUGGGAAGGCUCGAUUCUCGAAAUAUUUUCUUUUGAAGUGAAGCUAAGAUGCCAAGAAGGUGACUACAAAGAAUUUUCCUAAGAAAUGGUGCUAGACAAGGCCAACUGACAAAGAUGUUCUUCCUAUUUCCAGAUCCUCAUUUUAAAGAGAAAAAUCACUGUCGUAGGGUGAUUAGCCCUCACUUGCUAGGCGAGUAUGCAUAUACUCUGGCUAUUGGGGGCAUAAAUUACACCAUUACAGAUGUUGAAGAAUUGGGUAAAUGGAUGAAGGACUGUUUGGAAAACCAUCCCAUGUUUGAAGCACUGACGGAUGAAGAACUCGUGAACGAUCCGGUGGUGAAGCUAUUGACCAGCGUGACCGAGGAAGGCCAAAAUGUUGCCAGGAAUGGUGGGCAGACAUUUCAAGCAAUAUGCAGAUGCAUUGCCCCAUCUCUAUGAUAGAAAUCAACGAAUGGCUCCAUGUGUUUUGGGACCACUUAGGUGAACUUUCAUGCAUUUUUUGGGAUCCUUUGAAAGGUAGAGAUAUUUUUUAUGAUGCAAAAGAGAAAUUGCAUACCUGCUUCUUCAUUACUUAUCAUGCCUUCCUUUUUUUGGUCUCUCGCCAUUCUUUACUUUAUUUUUUUGGCCAACUAUAUAUACACAUUAUUAUUGCAUUUAAGCUUUGCCACAUUGAGAAUUCCAUCAAGCGGAAAUUUUUUAGCAGCAACAGAGCUCUAGUAUCAAGACUUGGUAGGGACAGCCUAAUUAGCCAAUCUAAUUGGAUCUACAAAUGUACAUUAAUAACAAAAUGCCACCAGCGAUCGUAAAAUGUUGUUCUUUUCAACGUGCUCCGAGACGUUCAAUUAUUCAUGCUCUUAGAGCAUCAAUGAUUAGAGUUUGCUAUUGUAAUGUCAAAAGGCCAAUCAUAUAUGGUCUAAGAUAGAGGUGACGAAGAAGGAACUGUUCUCGAUUUGUUCGCAAAGUUCAAUCCUUCUUUGCUGGUUCACGCCGUGACGUGCAAUCUCACAUCUGACUUUUCUCCAUUAUUGUUCAUCAGAGAAGCACAAACGCACCCAACUUCAUUGGCAAAGAGUGUUUAUUCAACCAUACUUAGUACUCAAAUAUACGGCGACAAACUAUGCUUCCACUAGAAACCCACACUAGGUAACAAAUGGUGGUAGUCAGAGACUCGUUGGGCUUCGAGCGUCUUCUCGUACUAUCGAUGGACUUGAAGAGCUCCGAGAAGUUGCGCUUCCCAAACCCUCCGCACCCGCCCUUCUGAUACUAUUUCCUGUGAUCGUCCGUAAGCAUGCACCCCGCUCUUUGUAUGAUCUCUAUGAAUAUGGUGGGCCUACACAGUCAGGCAGCAAGAGAAGCCAGAUGAACAACAUCAGAGAGGAGGACCAGCAGCGUGCACCCCAUUCUUUUUGGAGACCGCAAAUAAUCUCCCAAAAUUUCUUUCAGAACAAAAAUUUUCACAAGUUCAUUACCGUUUUUUCAUUCCGGCUUUGACAGCUCAAGUUAGCAACUUAAAGCUUCCAACCAAAUUCUUUUUAGAGACUGCGAAUAAUCUCCCACUCUUCGGGCGCUGGUCAUCUGAGGUUACGCCUGUUGCUUGAUUUGCAUUAAUGGAAAUCGCUACAACGUUCGAUUUUCUGGAGAAGAUGGAUGCGUCUUCUUGUUGAUCGGUGAGAAACCAAGAAACAUUUUCUCUGAAAAGAGGAGAGAGAGAGAGAGAGAGAGAGAGAGAGAGAGAGAGAGAGAUGGUGGCGAAGCCAUAGCUUGGAAAAUUGAAAAGAUGAGAGAGAGAGAGGGAAAGAGGAAUGGGGGGAGAUAAAGUGCUAGGGUAUACAACCCUUGAAAAAUUGAAAAGAUGAGAGAAAGGGUUUUGAGCGGGGACAAUGCGGGUGCAUUUGUUUGUGUUUCUGUUCAAAAAUUGUUCCUGGGAACAGAAAUAGAAAAAAUUAUUUCUGUUCUGGGAAACAAUUUUUGACUAGAAAAACGUGUUUGGUAAACUUGUUCCGAGAAUAAAAAAAUAACCGAAACGCGUUUGGUAAACUUGUUCCGAGAAUAAAAAAAUAACCGAAACGCGUUUGGUAAAUUUGUGUUCUUUUUUUGUUUCUUUUAAUUUUUUUGAUAUUUUUCCUUUUUUUUCUUUUUUUGGCCGGUCGCCAGCCUCGGCCAUGGCCGGUGAUCGGCUGAUGAGGGCCGGUGGCCUCGCCCAGCCACAGCGAGGCUCGCUGGCCCCCGGCGAGGCCAAGCCUCGCCGUGGUUGGACGUGGCUCGGCCUUGCCUUGGCUAGGCGAGCUCGGGCUCGCCCAUAUCUAGCGAGGUCGAGCUCGCCCAGCCACCGAUUGCCUGGCGGUGGCUCGGCGAGGCUCCUCGCCAGAGGCUAGCGACGCUCUGGCAAGGUUGCCGGCCCUCGACGACUGGUUGCCAGUCAUGGCCAAGGCCGGCGACCGGCCAAAGAAAAAAGAAGAAGAAAAGAAAAAGAAAAGAAAGAAGAGAGAGAAAAUUUGUUUCUCCAAAUUGUUCUACAAAUAAGAAACAAGUUUUUUUUGUUUCUUAUUUAUGUUCUAAAUUUGUUCACGAAAACAAAAAAAUAGAUUUGGAAUAAAAACACAAACAAACGCGUUUCUAUUCUUUUUUUGUUUCCCGGAACAAAAAAAAACAAGAAUUUUGUUCAUGAAUAAAAAAAAAUAAGAACACAAACAAACACUACAUGCAUUUAUUAUUCCUUGUGUUAGUGGCUCGCUAGAGGAGAGAGAAAAGAGCGUCCGAGUCCUUUCAAUUUUAAUUUUUCAAUUCCUACAUAUUCCAGGUCACCGAACAUACGUCGUUUUUUUUAGUGGAGCAUAUAUGUCAAGUCAGUCAUCAACCGAUAACGUGGUAGUUGCUAACCACCGAAUAUUUUCUCCAUUCAUGGGCACCUUUAGGGUGAACAUGAUUUUAUCGCAGAAUCUGGAACCACUUGUAGGUUUCAAGGUAUGCAUGAUAGAUUUUAGGUUAAAAAAAAAUAGAGAACCUGUUUCAAUGGCUAGGUUUCAGGUUCUAAGCAGGUGGAACUUAGAACCUGAAAUAGGUUUUUGCGUUUUUUUUUUUUUUUGGGUCUAUAUCUUUAUGAUUCUACGAUAUUCCAUAGCAUCCGAUGAUGAGUAUAUAAUUUGAGACUACUAGUCCGAGUUUCCAUUUUAUGACUAAGACCUCUACUUUGCUAAUGUUUCAUUUUCUUCGUACGUCUAAAUAUAGGUUGUGGUUAUUAAAGGUAAUGAUUUGUUACAAUCAUUCAAUUAAUAACACAUGUGGAACUUUGGUAAAACCUUGAAUUGACCCGUUCCAAGUUCUAGGGUAUGCGGAUAGGUUCUGGAUUCCAAGUUCCAAAAAAAAAAAAAAAAAACUUGUUCCAACUAAUAUGUUCCAGAUUCUAAAUGGAAUAUUUGUGGAACCUGAAAUCACUCACCCUUAAGCACCUUACAUAAAAAAAAGGAAGUUUCUUGGAGUUCUUUUUUUUUUUUUUUAGGUUAUAUAUUGUUCUUUAAAUAGACCUUGUUAACAAAAGUGCCAUAAAACCACUGGGAUUCGCCCCAGUGGCCACCCUUCCAACAUGGAAGGGAGAGGUGAGGGGUUCAAAUCCCUACCUUCUCAAGAGGGGUGGGAUGGGAACGCGUAAGUUUUAAGAGUGGGUUUCGACUCCCACGCCCUACAAGAGGCAGAGCAAAAGUCUGAGAGUAAGUGUAGAGUAGGAAUAGAGUAGGACUGACAAAAAAAAAAAAAACAAAAGUGCCAUAAAUAUUAGAUAAUGAUUCAUUAUUAUUAUUAUUAUUUUAAUACGUUCAUUGACAUCGUGCCACACGAAAUCAAUAUCGUGGAAAUUCAAUUAUUCAAAUAUAGGAUGCUGACCGAAAUUCUUUCGAUAUUUAUAUAUCUUGGUGGAAACACUCGUGUCUGAAAAUCUCGAGAAGAAUGACAAGGAAAGGAAUAAUUAACAAGUUAAGCUACCCAUCUCACCGUUCGGGUUCCAACGAGACGCGGCUUUAUUGGGCCUUUGUGCUUAUGUUUUGUUUCUAAUUUCAAUUAUAGGAAUUAUUAAAAUUUAAUACACGAAAAAUAUGACAAAUGUGAUUCUCAGUCGAAACUGCUAAGCAAGUAGUGGAUACCUUUAAAUUAGUUAAAAUUAGAAUAGAAUCUUAAUCAACAAUGUUGGAGAUAUGCGAGAAUCGGACCAAAGAUUAUGAUCAAUCAAUCCAAAAUUACAGGAGAUUAUAAUUGAUUAAUUAUGUCAAUCUGUGAUUGGAUUUUGAUUUGAUGUAUCUUCCUUUUAUUUUCCUUAAUUAUACAUUCAUUGUAUCAUAAAUAAGAGCUUAUACGAUGUAAACAAACACAACUCAAUAUACAGAAGUUAUACAGAAGUUACAAGUCAUUCUCUCAUAUCUUGACCUAUUCUUCAAACUCUGACAUGGUAUCAGAGCCGUUUUCUUCAACCUAGCUUCCGCAAAAUUCACAAAUUGCCUCUGCUUCCUUCAGUUUUUGCUAUUGCAAAGCAAAUCAGCGCAAAGUAGGAAUUCAUCUCUAUACAUAUCAUGGCUAAGAAUACCGAAGGAAAUACUUCAAUAGAGGAGACCCUGAAUUCACCUCAAAAUCUGGGUGAGGUUGAUCCAGCUGAAGAUGAACGUUCCACAACUCAAAUCACUUCUGAUCCGGCCCUUGCGCCAAGAAAUGUUUCUGACCCAGUAUAAUGGCCACCAGUCUAGUAGUUCCCGUUUCAGGGCCGUGGGCAGCUGGGCCAACUCAGCCAUGGGCUUCAUAUGACACACUUGGAGAAGGAUUCUCAAAUCUUGGAGCCCAGCCCACUGAAGGAGGACAGACUUCCUUCAACGCCGAAAUGGGCUAGGCGGGUCCAAGUCCACAUCGCAAGGUUAAGGGACAAACCCCUACCCGACCAUGGGGCAUGGCUUUUCGUUCGUAUGUCGUCUCGACGAGCGGUGGCCGGCCGGAGCCUAGUAACCCACUUUACAAGUCGUCGUGCGAUGGCCCGAAUUGCGAUUCAUCUCCUUGUAACUCAUUGGACCCAAAAAUGAUAGUACUUGGGCUCAAGAUCUCCGGCCGGCAUUGGUCAUGAAAGACCAAGACGCUUCCUCAACAAAACCAUGCCUUUUCCAUCCGAUGAGCGCUCAUAGUGGCAUUGGCAUAGAUGUAACUAGCUCUUGCAGACGUGGAUCGGCAAUUGCUUGGCUCUCAAGGUAGUUGUCGGACUUCCACGGACUGAAGAUUCGAACACGAUAUGAAACAAUAUCCACAAGAUGUACAGAAAACUCAACCGGGCCAAAAUCGUCUCCCUCACCCAAGCCAUGUUAGAACUGAAAUAGGAAAAUCAACCCGUCACAACAUGUUUCAAUUGACUCUCGACUUUGUGGAACAAGCUCGAGGCGGCUAAAGAGCAGUUCGAGGGGAGGGGUCGGAGCUAACGCUUCAACAAUAUCGAGAGUGAUACGAGAGAGGAGAAGGCAACCCGUUUUUGUACUAAUCUUGAAUGAAAACUACUCACAUUUUAGGUCCCAAAUCCUUGCGAUGGAGCCGGCAUCGCCGCUCUGGCGGAUAUUUCAAUUGGCGGUCCAAGAGGAGAAUCAAAGGAUACCUGCGUUUGAACACGCACGAACUGGAGAGGGAAUCACCCUUAUUGCCUUCGGAUCUAGACUGUCUCUGACCGGUGGCUUCUCAACCGAGCUUGCUGCCUUCGGUUCUAGACCACCAUUGGCUGACGACCUCCCACCUGGCUUUGGUCCGACGGGUCAGCAUCUCUAUUCCCAUGGAGAGGCAGCCUGAUGAGUUGCUGCCACUGCUGCUUCUGCUACUUCUGCGUCGUCCAAAGAAGGAGAAGGGAGCCCUAGUCCCUUUUGGAUGGACGGCCACAAUUUAAUCCCAAGAUCGGACGGCUAUUAUUUAGCCAUGGCUUCGGCUGAAUCCAUGGGCUGUCAACAAGCUAUGAUAACCACUGGGGGUUCGCCCCAGUGGCCACCCUUCCAACAUGGAAGGGGGAGGUGAGGGGUUCAAAUCCCCACCUUCUCAGGGGGGGAUGGGGGUAGGGACGCAUAAGUUUCGAGAGUGGGUUGCGACUCCCAAGCCCUGCAAGAGGCAGGGCACAAGUCUGCGAGUGAGUGUAGAGUAGGCAUAGAGUAUGACUGACCAAAAAAAAAAACAAGCUAUGAUGGUACCUGUUUUUAAAGGAUCAUAGAUCGAAACCAAUCCUAACUUCCAAUCACGUGGGUCAUACAUUAGGGCCAACAUAAUUAAUGGUCCAAGUGAUAUUACUCCACAUAAUCGAUGAGCCGGAUUUUUAACUUCUUUGUAUAUAUCCAUGUCCAAUCCACAGCCAAUAUUUUAUCACGAAGAAAUUGGAGAAAUUUCGAAUCGCUGGAUUAUAUAGUAACAUUACUAGUACAUUAGUAUCCGUAAAGAAAUUAAAAAGUAGUGGCAACUUUUCGUAAUUUGAGAUAAAUGUUCAGGCUAUAGCCAGAAAAGGAAACUACAAUUGCCAAUACAGGAGUUUCUACAGCAAAGCAAAAUUGUUUGUCAUCUUAUUUCAUGCUUCAGAGGAUUUAAAUGAAUAUCUAUUUACUUUGGACCUGUAAACAUUUUCCCACAAAUUCACUACCUUUUCUUUUAUAUUAUUUUAUGCUUUAAUGAAAUCACCAUGUUAUUUGUCAUUUUCCUCAAUCAUAUGUAUUAUCGACAUUCUUGAAAAGCAUGGUGCUCCAUGAUACCUUGUUUGCAAGUUGGUAUCUAGAACUUUGUUGUCUGCCAUAUCAUUGAAUUCAUCGAAACGGUAAGCAACAAUGCCUUUUGAAUUCUAUAAUCUCGUUGGCAAUAAUCACUUCAUAAGAUACUGAUAUAUAAAUAAUGACGUAAUAAAUGUAUAAGAUAUAGUAAGUGCGUGAAAAAUAAGAAGUCUAAGAUGAAAAUACUGGCAAUAUAUAAUUAAGUCCACCUUGCGUCGUAGUUCCCAAAACUUAAUAAAAUUGCAAAAAAAAAAAAAAAAAAAAGAUUGCUAAGCUAUGCAGUUUAUAAACCCCACGAAGCGUAUCUUAACGUUUCUCUCUUCUCGAUCCAAACCCUAGAGAUACAACGAGGCAAUCAAGAGUGGGGAUACACGUAAGAUGAACGUCGGAGGCGAUGAUUACCGGAUGUCCGCCAAGCCGUUCGCAUCCCGACCAUCGAGCGUGCAGAGUUCUCCAGCGAAGCAAGGCAGCCCGGCUCCUCAUCGGCCGCGGCGCGGGUUUUGCUGCGGGUUUAAUGACUGCAUCAGCAUGGGCUCUACAGUCUCCACUGGCCUUCACCAGCAACAGCAAACAUCUCUUUCUAGAUUGGAGCGGCAGGUAAAUUUGAUGUGGUGUGACUUUUCUGGGACUACUGUCAAUGUUUUGUCAAUGUUUUCUCAAAAGCUGAUGAAAAAAGGUUCGAGCAUUAAUGAAAAAAAGGAGUUAAGAGAUGAUCAAGUUUAUGGUCGAAGCAAAGUAAAAUAUGUUGGAUUAUAAUGUCUCAGUGCUGCUAGUUUUUCGACUGAUGUUCCUCUGUUAUGUUUUCUUCUUAUGGUUUAUUUUUCUUGCUAAGUUGGUUAUAUUAUGCAGCUGGUAUUUUUGUUAUUUAGGAAGUGAAUUAGCACGUUUAGGUGCAGUUAUAUGCUGCACGUGUGUGUGGUUUGUAAGUAGUUAUUGUUCUUGUUUAAGUUGUCCUGUACUCGACAGUUUCCUUAUAUAGAACUGAUGUACGCAAGUUCGUGUUUUGUUUUCUCUGUGCUUCUCUUCCUCAUUUGAAAUCUAUAGCUUCUGAUUUUCUGUCUCUUGUUUACUGUUUGAUCAGUAACAACAAAAUAUAACUCAUUUACUUUUAUUUUUACUGUUUCAAAAUUUAAGAUUACAAGAAUGUUCUAGUGAUAUUUCUGGUGAAAUAACUUGCUCAGUUUGACUUGCGAAUGAAAGGUAGGGGAAUUAGAGAAGGAAGUCCAAAAGGAGAAGGAGCUUCGGAUGAUAUACAGGAAGAGAUUGGAGAGAACCCAGGAUUACCUCCGACACUGCCUUCAGAUAGCCAAAGACAACAGUUUUCUUCAGCUAAUCGUCCACCACAAGAACAACGACGGACACGGCAACAAUGACAACAACAGCAAUGCUAAUGACAACAAUAACAUCGACAGUAACGUGACGACUGACGAGAAGAGGUCAUUCUCUCUCCUCAGCUCUACAAUGGCAACGUUAGUCCUCAGUUCCCAGCUAGAACACUAGUGCAACCUCACUCUGAUAUUUCGAUCGUGGUCAAUCGGGCCAGGAUCAAUGGCUGGUACAUUGAGCCACAUGAGGUGAGUUCUCUCAUUGAACUAUGGUCAAUCAUAAGUUCAGUGGACAUGGUUUUGGUUACAAAGUGAACUGCUAAUCGAAUCAAAUCGCUAUGGUUUGUGUGUAAUCGAAUUUGGAUGUUAUAUUGACCUGUUGUUGCAACCUCGGCCCUAGAUCGAGCUGCGAGAGAAAAUAGCCCGAGGGACCACCGCGGAGAUAUACAAGGUGGGGUGGCGGGGCCUUGACGUGGCGGUCAAGUGCAUCUUCCCUGACUUUUUCCACACAAACCAGAGCGGUGCCGCCUUCUUCGCGCAGGAGGUCGAGACGCUGUCGCGGCAACGACACCGGUUUGUGCUGCAGUUGAUGGGGGCGUGCAUCGACCCGCCCGAGCGCGCGUGUAUAUUCCUGGGCUCGACGCUGAAGGAGUGGCUCCACGGGCCCGGGAACCGGAGGAAGGGUGAGUGGGCGAAGCCGCUGCCUCCGCUCGGGGAGCGGCUGAGCCUGGCCAUGGAGAUAGCCCAAGCGAUGCAGUAUCUGCACGAGCAGAAGCCCAGGGUGAUCCACAGAGACUUGAAGCCCAGCAACAUCUUCUUGGACGAUGCGAUGCAUGCGAGGGUGGCUGAUUUUGGGCACGCCCGGUUCUUGGGAGAUGAAGAGCUGGCAUUAACGGGCGAAACGGUUAAAUUCAAGACAUUUGUUUUCUUGUAAACUGAUUCAUUUCGAUGUCGAUGUAUCGAAUUAGCAAACCUCAUUCAGCAAGUCCGACUCAGUAAAAUAACAUUCUCAGGGACUUACGUGUAUAUGGUGCCAGAAGUGAUACGGUGUGAGCCUUAUGACGAGAAAUGUGACGUGUACAGCUUCGGGAUCAUACUCAAUGAGCUCAUCACGAGCGAAUACCCUUACAUCUAGACCGACUUUGGCCCCGCUCAGGUACUAUGUUUCAUCUCUCAAUGGUCCCUCAAAAUUUUCCCCAAUUCAAAUGCAGCUAUUAUAUAUUAUUGAAAUACUACCGUACAUUCAUCGAUUUUAUAAUUUGUCUCAUGUAAACAGAUUGCAGUGGAAGUAGCAGAAGGCAGGCUCAGGCCUGCGCUUCCGGCGGACGAAGAUGGCCAACUUGAAGAGCUUGUCCAAAUCGUAUGCCUGUCUUGGGAUCAAGACCAUUCAAUUAGACCACCCUUCUCCACAAUUACUCGCAAUUUGAGAGGAAUUAAGCAGGGCGCUUACAGAAAAUGUUCAGAUUUUGGAGAGGAAUUAACACGAAUUGUGAUCCUUGAGGGUGUUAGUCAUAUAAAAAAUUACAUAACAUGGAGCGUUUUUGAGGUAACUCAAAAACGGAUUAAAUAUAUCAAAUAUGAGUCGAUCCAUUUUCGACGCGAUCCAAACCCGACCCAACUCACUCAUUCAACAGGUAUACUCAAAAGGUCAAGCGUUGUUGCCUCGCCUGCCAUUUCCUUGGCAGACCUGUAGCAUUUUUAUUUUAUUUUUUUUGGUAAAAGGUAAGUAUUAAAUUGACUUAAGCCAAAAAGCAGCAAGAAACUAUACAGCAAGAUAUUGGCAUCCAAAACAACUCACGAGAACAAGACUGUCAAGUGAGUAGAAGGGUGGCAAGGAAAAAGCAAGGUAAAAGCAAGGUAAAAGCAAGACCACCUACACAGAGCAGAGGAAAGUCAAAAUGGUGGCAAAAGCAAACAAAGAACCUUCACAGGGAGAAAAAAAUAACGGUAAAAGCAAACAACGAACCUACACAGGGAGAAAAAAAAUAGCGGCAAAAGCAAACAACGAACCUACACAGGGAGAAAAAAAUAGUGGCAAAAGCAAACAAAGGAACAAAAAAGCCUUUGUUUUCUCAUUUUUCCUUUUUUUUUUUUAUUAUCAACUGCUCUGUUUUUAGUAGUCUAUGCAUGGAACAUCAUAUUAAGAACGCGGUGCGAACGGUACGCUCCUCCAGAAGACAAUCUUUAUACGCAAACUACGAGGGUAUUGUUUCACUUCGAUUGCUCUCGUUAGCCAUUCAUGCUCCUCAAGAGUCCUGUUUUGGGUCUUUAGCUUUCUUGCUCUGUUCUUGGGGAAGUGAGCUCAACGGGACGCUGACAGGCUCGCGCUAAUCUUGGUCAAGGUACUCGGUUCUCUUGAAUCUCUUCUUGGAUUUUCAGUUUUUUCUGUACCCAUUUUUGAGCAACCCAUUUUUGAAAAUCUCUUCUUGGAUUUUCAGUUUCGUUUCUUGAUCGAGAGUCUUCUGCUCCGUGAUCUAUCCCUCUUACUUUAUGUGUCCUAAGUUUGUGGUGACUGAUUAGAGGUGAAUUUUUCGGAAAGGGAUAAACUUUUUGUCUGGCUCGAGUACUGGAGUCAGUCCACGACCUCAGUCUUGUUAUGCAUGUUGUGUUGCCCUGUUGCUGUCUGCGUGUGCGCAUUUCAGUAGAAGUAGAACUGCGCUUGAAUUCUCUCUUUUGCUUUACUCGUGCUUUCCAGAGUUUGAACCUCAACUGAAGCCUUGUAAGCGGUAAAGUUUUGAACUUUUGGGACGCGUCCUGAAUCAUGAAUGGAUUCUAAAGGAGAAGGUCUAAAAGGUGGCGAAAUCGCCAUGUCGCAGAAAAGGAAUGUCAGUGGAAAUGAUGUAGUUGUGAACAUCUCGACUGAAGGGGAUGCAAAAGCUGUGACUGAGGGCGGGGGCUUAAAAGGGUCGUCUUCCAAGGAGUUGGAAACUGCCGCUCCGAAACAAACCCCGGUGGAUUCUGCCUGCCAGGCAUCGAGUGAAUCAAGCACCGUUGUUGCAAAAUCAGCGCCAAUGAGCUGCCCGUCUCCCAAUGCUAACGAAUCUCUUGUUAGGAAAAGGAGUCUCAACAGGUCGAUUUUCUCAAAACGGAAGUCGAGGUUUGGGGAGCAACAGUAUCCUCUUGAUGCCACUAUGUUUGAAGAAAAGCCCAAUGCAUUGUUGCAAGAACAAGCCGGUGGGCACUCUCCUUUCAGAGGCUCAUUUAAUCAGGCAUCACCCAAUAACAGAUUGACACGUUCGGCCAGGAAUGUUCCUGUCACUCCGGGACCAGCUGGAGGAGGAGGUGGAGAGGAGGAUGACGAAGAGAUCUACAAACAAGUCACUCUUGAAUUGAGCCAAGCAAAGCAAAAGAGGAUAAAGACCAAGGCUUUGGUCGAAUGCACCCUGUUUUAUCUCAUUCUUGGGUGCUUGGUGGCUAGUUUAACGGUCAAUCAAUUGGAAGAACGUAAGUUAUGGGGUUUACAGAUGUGGAAGUGGUGUGUACUCGUGAUGGUGUUAUUCUCUGGCAUAUUGGUUACCAAUUGGGUGAUGCAUCUCAUAGUUUUCUUGAUUGAGAAAAAAAAUUUACUUCAGAAAAAGGUGCUCUACUUCGUUCAUAGUUUGAAGAAAAGCAUUCAAGUUUUCAGUUGGUUGGCCUUUGUUCUUCUCACGUGGGUACUGUUAUUCAGUCGAGGCGUUAGGAGGUCAAAGAUCGCCAAUAAGGUUUUGGAUUGCAUAACCUGGACUCUUGUCUCUGUCCUUAUCGGUUCAUUCCUAUGGUUCUUAAAGACUUUACUGCUGAAGAUAUUGGCAUCGAGUUUCCAUGUCACUGCAUUCUUUGAUCGAAUUCAAGAGUCGAUCUUCCAUCACUACGUUUUGCAAACCUUAUCUGGGCCUCCUCUUAUAGAGGAGGCUGAGAGGGUGGGGAAAGAUCCUAGUGUCCGCGAGUUUAGUUUCAGAACCAUGAAGAAAGGUAAAUUGGGAAAGGAGAAGAAGGUGAUUGAUAUGGGGAAGAUAUAUAGGAUGAAGCAAGAGAAGGUUUCGGCUUGGACGAUGAAGAUGUUGAUUGACGCAGUGACAAAUUCGGGGCUAUCGACCUUAUCGAAUACAUUGGAUCAAAGUGUUGAUGAUGGAGGAGUUGAGCAAGCGGAUAAGGAGAUAACGAAUGAGAUGGAAGCGAUGGCUGCUGCGUAUCACAUUUUCAGGAACGUCGCUCCGCC